UUCCGGUUGUCACGCCAGUGGCAUUGCCGGGUAGCUAUGUUCGGAAUAGAUAACCGCUGAAAGCAUCUAAGCGGGAAACUAGCCUCAAGAUGAGAUCUCACUGGAACCUUGAGUUCCCUGAAGGGCCGUCGAAGACUACGACGUUGAUAGGUUGGGUGUGUAAGCGCUGUGAGGCGUUGAGCUAACCAAUACUAAUUGCCCGUGAGGCUUGACCAUAUAACACCCAAGCAAUU
rnacentral:rRNA from 1 species